rnacentral:lncRNA from 1 species
CUUAACCUAUAAAUACCACCUCCAGUGCUCAUAGCUUCCAACAUCAAGUAAUACCUUGAAUUUCAUUCUCAUUUUUUAUCAUUUUCUAAGCUCUUAAAUCAUCAUCAUCUAUCAUGGGUGUCUUCACAUACGAAACCGAGUUCACCUCAGUCGUUCCUCCUGCUAGGUUGUUCAAAGCCCUUGUUCUGGAUGCUGACAACCUAGUCCCAAAGAUUGCUCCACAAGCAAUUAAAAGUGCUGAAAUUGUUGAAGGAGAUGGAGGUGUUGGAACCAUCAAGAAGACUAGCUUUGGUGAAGGUUUGUUUACUUCCCACCAUUGUCUGUCUCUCUACUAAUUAACUUGGUUUUCAAGUUAAUAUGUAUCUUGAAAGCAUUGGCGUCAUAAUUUCUAAAAAGAUUGACAUUAACCAUCACGAAAUUUUCAAAUUACAGGAAGUGAAUACGGCUACGUGAAGCACCAGGUUGACGCGCUUGACAAAGACAACUUUGUGUACAACUACAGUUUGAUUGAAGGAGAUGCUCUUUCGGACAAAAUAGAGAAAAUCUCUUACGAGAUUAAGUUGGUGGCAUCUGCAGAUGGAGGUUCAGUCAUAAAGAACACCAGCAGCUACCACACCAAAGGUGAUGUUGAGAUCAAGGAAGAGAAUGUUAAGGCCGGCAAAGAGAAGGCCCAUGCUUUGUUCAAGAUUAUUGAGACCUAUCUUGUGGCCAACCCUGAUGCCUACAACUAAACAUGUCUGUGAUAUUGCAUGUUUGGACAACAAUCUUCAUCUGUCGUCCCUUUUUCUGUUUAGUCAAUGGUGUGGUUUUAAAGAGUAAUGUACUUGCAUUUUAUUUCAAUUUUUCAAUAAAGAAAAUUUGGACACAAUUAAUUUGAUUUUCUGUGAAAAUAUAUGUGCAGAAUGAAUUCCACAUCUGUAUAUUA